GAGGCGGCGCGGCGCUGGGCCUCGCGGGCGCGGCGUGGGAUCGUGGCGAAGUUUCUCGGCGUGUAACUCUAGCGCUGUCUGCUGGGGUUGCGGGGCCGGGGGAGGCUGGGUCCCCGCACCUCCCCCACGCGCUGCACUGUCCCUCGGCCUGCGCCGCGGUGGCCUGGAAGCCGCGGCACCGAACGUCGUGUAACCCUUCGGGGGCUGGUUUCGGAGCCCGCGGGCCUAGGUCGGGCGGGGCGGGUGCCUUUGGCGGACGCCGCUUGGGGGAAACCCAGAGCCUCGGCCGAGCAGAGCGCCGUGGAAAGCGGGCGGCGGGAUCCAGCCCAAGGAAGGCGUCGGGGACGCGCCCGCACCCCGAACUCGGUGACGCGGGGGAGCUGAGGGCUGGGUCUUUGCGGGCGAGAUGAGGGUGUCGGUUCAACUGGCCUACAAAGUCCCAGUCCUCGGCCCCCAGGACCGGCGGCUUCUCCCAAGCUCCAGGCCGGCACGGCAGGAGCUCAGCGCCCAGGCGGGAGUGUACCGGGACCACACUGGAGAGGGGAUGGCAAGGGGCGCUCGGCGCGGGCUCUGUGGGCAGAUUCGAGGGAUCCCUGUGUUUCGCAGGAACAGUGGGAACGUACUCAGAACUUUAAGUCGGCCACUGUGUGCAGUCGGUGUCAGGUCCGCGUUCUCCGGGUGGAGCCGAUUCCCGCCAGGGCGGACGUGGAGCUGGCGGGGAGAGAGCCUCCCGCUCCCCAGCUCCCCACAACCAGGAACCCACCAGGGCUUGCCCUGGUGCGCUUUCCAGAGCGGCUACCUUGGGCUUGGAAGUGGGGAAUCUCACCCGAUUUCUGGAGUUAUCCCUGAGGAGAUGGGACGGGAUGUGGAGGUUUAGCCUCCGUGGAGGGGGAAGCCCCUGCCCCUCCCUUCCACCACCGUUUCUUCAAAGAUGCGUCUUUGUGGGAGUGUCUUUUGUUCCCUGAUCUAUGCAACGUAAUGUUGACCGCCCGAGUCCUCAAGUUUUAUGCUGAGGUUCCCUUCCUAAACCCUCUGCGCAGUCACUUAGUCUACCCUCCCAAAAGAAGAAAGUCCACCAGCCCCGGAAACCUUGAGUUUGUUGGGUGUCGGAACUUUUUGUUUAUUUCUGUUUAUAUUGUGUUUUGGCUAUCUUGGCCGCUGGGGCCUUGGGAAAACAUUUGGGAACACGCGGUGAGGUGACCUGAACUGUGUGAAGGGCAAGUUGACAAAACAGGGCACCUUGGGCCCCCUUCCACCUGGCUUUGGAAAACUAGAGAGUUUUCUAGAAGCAGGAGGAGGGUGAGGGAGAAAGCAGUCCAGCCAGGUUUGCCCACCUUUCUGCAAGUUGUGCAAAGACCCCAUCUGGAAGGUUUUUCCACAGGCUUCUGCGGGCUUAGUAUAGAGUCGGCUUGCAGGAACCCAGGGUAGCCUCUGCCCCCGUUUUGGUGGCCAUGUGGGGACCUGAGCGGAGGGGUUCAGGUUUGUGGAGGGAGCCCCCUGGGCUGUGGGGUCACUGAGGCGAGGUUGGGCCUCUGAGUCCAGGAGUGGGCACAGCCUCCCACUCCAUUUGGCCUGCGUGUUUUCAGGUGUGAGCUUUGUCCUGCAUGCCGUAGUGAGUGUAAACGCAGACGUCACAGUUAGGGAAAAUGUUCGGUCAAGUACCUAAAUGCACAAGUAUCUUAACAGAUUCUCAGUUUUGAGGCAAAACAGUCUAGGAGCAGGUUGGUGGAAGCUUCAACGGGAGGCCUUGCCCUAUUUAAGAAAAACGGUCUCUUUUUUCAGAGUACUGAACCAAGUUGGGAAAACAAAGUUCUCCGUUUGAACCCAUGCCUUUCCCGGCCCUGGGGAUGAGUAUCUGAAACUAAAUGAAGUGGAAAUCUCCAGAAUGUUAUGUGGUCGCAGAACUGGGCUGGAGUGAUGGGAUGUGGAAAAGCAGACCCGAGUUGCCUGAUUUGCACCCACCCUGGAGGGGACAGACACGGUGAUCGGGAUAUAAAUCCUGGGAAUAAAGCAUAAGGAGCCGGCAGUGUCCCCGGCCUCCCUGGCCUGGUUCAGGUGGCUGGCAGUUUUCCCUCCGGCAUAGCUGGGGCUGACCUGGGUUUUAGGGAUUUUUAGGAAAUGCUUUAGUGCUUCAUUGCUUUGGGGGAAGUGAGUGAUUACGUUUUUCCUUCUUGGGACUUUUCCUUUGCAAAGCGUGACUGAAUCAGCUACAUGGUGGGCUGGCCUGGCCUCCAGCAGCUGAUUCGUGCUUUGCUUUAAGCUGUUGUAUUUAGGAAUUGGGCUUUGGUUGAGAGCCUUUUGAUUUUUCUGUCCCUUUUGAAUUCUCAUAGUUUCCUGAAACAGCUGCCACCAUCCCACCCCCCCCCCCAAGUCCAUCCCUGUUAGCCGGGUACCUCUUGGCUCCAUAGGAAAAGUGGCUGACACGGACAGACUUGUGUGCCCUGGAGCGGUCUUCUGGAAGCAGCUAAAUGCAACGUGGAAAGCUGGUGGGAGGGAAGGGUUUCAACCAGACCCCCAGGGAGACCCACGGAAGACUUAAAAUCCAGCUGGACUCCUGGUCCUGCCUCCUGGGAGGAAACUUGUAUUCCCUCAACUCUUAAGUAGAUUGCAGCCUGGUGAAUAAUUAACCUCGCCCUUGUAGCUCCUCUCUCUUUUUUUUUUUUUUAAAGGAAAAUCAAAUCCCAACCUAUGAAAGAUUAAAGAUACAUUUUUGUGCAGCAGGAUGGGAUCGGCAAAGGAAGUGUUGGGCGAAGCCAGCCCUCUCAUCUCUACAGUGUCCCAGCAGCUCUGGAAGUUCUGAUAGUUAGAAAUACCUCUAGGGUUUCCCUGGUGGCCGUUCCUGCAAGUGGCCUCUGAGCUGCUUUCCCAGGUCUCCUUUGGGCGCCUUUGCCCAAAAGCCGAGCUUUCUGAACCCCCGGCGAAGAGCAGGGUUCUGUCCCCUGCUUUGCGCUUUGUGUGGCCCUCACUCCCGCACCAGGUGGAUUUUGCUGCCAGGCUAAUCCGGGGCUCUCUGAGCACGACAGUAACUGGCCUGGGUCACUUCUUCCACACGAAGGAACAGCACUCCUAAUCCGUGACACGUUGGUGAAAAAGUUGUCUCAGAAGCAAGGGGUCAGCAUGGGUUCCAUGAGUGGUUUUUCUGGAAGCAGCCUGGUGUGAGGGCCAUGAAGACAGACCUUGGGUCCAGACAGGCUUGAGUUGGGAGUCCUAACUGCCACUUGCCAGCCGAGUGGCCUUGGACCGGUAACUUCUUUGUGACCAUUUCUUCCCUUGUGAAUGAGAGUUUGAUACCUACGUCAUCAUGUCGUGGUGAGGCUUAUAGGAAAAUUGGAGGUUCAGUGCCUGGCACGCACCAGCGGACCUUUAACUGGUGCUGGUCUCCUCCGCUCUCUUAUUUGGAAUCUGCGUGUGUAUACGUGUCAGUUGAGAAGGGUGUAGAGUCAUUGAGACCUCAGGCUGGUGGGUCUGGUGGGUUGGCAGGUUGUCUCUCUUGCUGUCUCAUGUAUAGCCUUGGGCAAGUUACUUAACCCUCCGGGAACAGCUGCAUUGCAAUCCUCUAAGGCGGGGAUAGGGCCUGGGAACUCCCCCCUCCAGUCUUUCUUGUCUACCAACCACGUGUAGGGGACGAUGGGGCCGGGCUGGGGUUACAGCUGCAAGACGGGCAUGGUCGCUGGCUGCCCACUGGGAUUUGUCCUCCAGCUCUGAGAGCUGCUGAAGGGUAUCCUCUUGCGGCUGAGGCUGAGGGUCAGAUUGGGGGGAGGCCUCCCCAGCAUCUCAUGGCUGGGUGCAGUAGGACUUUCCAGGUUGGGGGCCAGCAGGCGUGAGCUGUGGAACAGGAGGUGGGUGGGGCUCGAUUAGCCAGCACAGCAUCUCAAAGUACCCUGGAUGUGCCGAUGUGGCCACCUCGAACACCUGCCCUGCAGUACCUCCAGCCUGAAAGGCCCAAAGACUCUGGUUCUGACACUGAGCACAUUUCAUGAAGGGGCCCCAGGAAGGGUGAAUUGCCACAGCUGCUUUUGGCUUGCUCGCUCAUUGACCCACGGGGCACGCUAAAUGGACUCUAGUGGGACCAGUGAAGCAGGGUACAGAAUCAAAGUGGGGGUGGUGGGGGUGGAAGGAAAUAAGUUGAUAUUCCAAAAUACACUGCAGGGUAAUCAACAUGGGAAAUAAAAAUCAGAAUUUCGUUGGACUUCCUUAUACUUGAUUUUUUUUUUUAUGGCUCAGUGAUGUUUUGAUUUUGAAUUUCAAACCAGUGAUUGAGAGAGACCAGAAUCUUUACAGUGCUUUAGAGGCUUUCCUGCAGUGGGCUCGGCUCACAGAGGGCCCCAGAGCAGGUGACUUCUCACCCACUGCAUAGCUCCCUCCCUCCUUCCCUUUGGCACGGUCUGGGGAAUUUUGAAAUCUGGGGAAUUUUGAAAUCGCCCUGUAGCCAGACCCCUUGUGUUUGCUGUCCAGGAGAACUGGGGAGGGAGGUGCUAUGUGGAAAGAACCAUCUCCUGAUCUUAAUCUCUGCUCUGCCACUCUGGGCCUGAGAGCCCCAUUCUCUGUCCAGUGGGGGAAUUGGACUGAAUACAGCGUACUCCCCUGGUAGCCUUAACUUGCUUCCACGAUUCUGGGCCAGGAGGCACAGAGGAGGGCACAAGAUGUGUAAUCAUAUUAGAGCUGAACAGCCCCGGGGACCGAAGUUACGCAGUUGGGGUUUUCACCAAAGCCUGUUACCGGGUCUUCAGAGGAAAACCGUGUCCUCAGAAAAAAAGGAAAAUGACAAGGAACGUUCUUGAGGAUUUUUCUCUCUUGGCAUUCAAAGGAUAUUUUCUUGCAUCAAGGUGCAGACUUGGCGGGCUCUGGUCACCGGAGAAGAUAGCUGUUUGCAGGCCCCUGACCGCAUGAUCGUGCUUCUGGCCAGCCUGGCCCCUUGCUCCUUAGGCUCCAGUCACCCCGGCCGGGCCUCCACACCAGCUCUCCCGGAGGCCGUUUUUAAAGGGCUGGGUUUGCUCAGAAGCAUCAGCAUUCUUCGCCCUGGGAAAAGAGAAAGCGUCAAGGUGAAGGUUAACUUGACGUUGGGUGUGGAGUGAUGUUUACCCCUUCUCGGUAAGAGGUGGAUGGGGCUUUCCUGAAAUGAGAGUCUCCUCACCUACAAUGGUCAUGGGGUGCUUGGUCAUUCCUCAUAGCUAAGCCUUUGCUAACUUUAAAUCAGCUGUCCCUCCCUGAGGCCCCUUUGCCCAGCCCUUCUGCCCCCCGCCAGACCUCCUUAUUCCUGAGUGUGUUCCUCAUUCUUUACACCAAAACACUUGCAAAAAAAAAAAAAAUUUUUUUUUUUAAGGAAGGUAAUACAUGAAAAAUAGAGUACUGUUCUCCCCCAGCUGUAAACGAACCGUCUUCCACUGUGGAGCAUUUCGAAAUACAGAAGCAUGGAAAGGCUUAUAAAAAUGCCCAUGCCUCAAGAUAACAUCAGCUAAUGAAAUAGAUCCUUCCAGCACUUUUCCCCUAUGCGCAUACACACCCCAUUAGCGGGAUCGGGGCUUUUAAAAGGCGUGAGGCUUAUAACCCAUUUGAGCAAUGGCCCUCUGCCCUUGGGAGCCAAAGUCUCUCUUCUUCUUGCCGAGUGGGACGGCCGAUCGCCUGCAGCCAGGAAGCUCUGAGCUCUCCGUGGCGGGUACCGGAGCCACACUAGGUCUCUCUUUUAAAUGGAGAUUGAUGAAGUUGGUGAGGUUGGAGCUGCAGGCUUUGUCCUGAUUGAUCUCCAAGUGGGGCUGCUGCACUGCUUCUAGACUACUGUGGCACGCAGAAUCUGGGGAGCCUUACACAAAUGCCAGGGCCUGUCUCUCCUCCCCAGCAAGGCCGGGAGGGCGGCGGGCACAAAGGGACUGGUAUCUGUCUUCCAUUUCUCAGGUGGUUCUGUGAAGCAGCCAGAGAACUAUCCGGCUCCAUGGCCACACGUUAGAUCUGGAAGAUUCUCGCAGCUCUACCUUCAGAGUCAGAUGGAGGAGAUGUGACCACUGGCAGCUGGCAGAAUUUCACGUGCAAUGCUCUCUCUGCUGCGCAGGGUCCUCUUUUGAUCCUCAUUGUAUAGGAGGGGCUGAGGCACAAGUGAUCGGGAGAACCAACCGGAAGACGCAGCGAGGAUGCGGGCAGCGCUGGGCUUUGGAGCCGCAGCUUCUGAUUCCCGAGGCCGGAGGACACUUCAGCAGAGAACCCUGGGCGGUGUCUGGCAUGGAGAAGAUGCCCCCUUCGUGUAGUUGCCCUGCUCAGGAAGUGAGGCUUCAGUCUCAGUGUGUUGGAUGGUGCCUUCCGUCCUCAUCUCUACAAGGAUGACCUUUCCUUCCGCUUCCUCUCUGGCCCUCCUGCCCCGGCCGGACCCUGUAGGGAUGGUGCCUCUGGUUUGAGACGCUGCAUUCCUCUUGGGUCGGGCCCGCCGAGACCCAGAACCCGCAGAGGCCUCCUUCCCCUCCUUGACGUUCGUCCUGCAAGUCCGGACGCCAACUCCAAGGCGUUCCCCCUGGGCCUGGGCCAGAGAAGCCGUGGCAGAGCUCCUCCCCCACCCCGCCAGCCUCCUUGGGUGCAGACAGCCCAGCACAGGCAGGAAGGGCCUUCUGUUUGCCUUGGCUGGUUGGGGAAGAGAUUAGUGCUUGCUUUCUGUUUUGACUCUUGUAUCUAACAGGCAGGCCUGUGACGUCGCAGAAAAGCACGCUUGAGCCUUGAAUGAGUUUGGGGGCCAUUCCUAAUGCCUGGCCCCUAUAGCGGUGACUGGAGGUAGGAAUGGGUGAUACCAUCACCCCCCUGGGAUGUGGAGAAAUGCAAAGGCCAUCUGUCAGCUUUCCCUACCCAGUGUUCACGGCCCUUUCUCCUGAUGCUGCCUCUUCUCCUUCAGAGGAUCACUUCUCCCCCAUCCCGGCUUUAGAGGCAGGCGUGAAUCCCAGGAUGGACAUGGAGACUCCCCCUUGGGGAUUCUGCAGCAACUACGGGGAAAGAAGCAUUUGUUUUUCAGGGGAUUUGCCAGGUUGAUGGAGCUGCUGGUGGCCAUCCUGUUCUCUACUUGAGGUCGAAAGCAACAAAGAGGAAGAAGCUCAGAGAUGGAGAGAAUAUGCUGUCUGGACAUCCGUAAGCCCCUGGAUCCAGCCAUGCCUGAAGCUAACUGCACCACUGGAUUAACCUGAUAUAUGAGCCAAUGCAUUUCUUUUUUUGCUAAACUCGUCCUGAGUUGGGUUUCUGUCAUAGAAUGGGUCUUAUUAAGCAAUAUUUUCCUUCGGUCUCAUUAAAAAAGAAUCAGUUCUGAGGUAUACUUUACAUGCAAUAAAACCUACCCAUUUUAAGUGCCCAAGUCAUACGUUUUAUCAUGUGUGUACCCCUGUCACUACCACCGCCAUCGAGAUAUAGAAUAUUUCAAGCUCCAGGAUAACCACUGACCUGCCUUGGUUGUAGAGACUGAUUUUGCCUUUUCCAGAAUUUCAUACAAAUAUUGUCAUGUAGUGUGUACUCUGUGUGUCUGCGUGUCUUUGAGAUCCAUGCCAUGUGCCUCAGCAGUUCCAUGCCUUACUACUGAGAAGCCUUCCACGUAGGGAGGUACCAGUUUGCUCAGCCAUCUGUCAGAUGGUGGACAUUUAGGCUGUUUCCAGAUUGUGACUAUUACAAAUAAAGCUGUUUUGAACA